rnacentral:lncRNA from 1 species
CCAUCUUCUCUUCAUUUGAUGGAAAUUCAGCAAAGGCAGCAACCUCCACUCCAUUGAUCCUCUUACAAUUGAUAAUAUAGAGAUUGCCAUUCCUAGUCCCUUUUGCUACUUCUUUGCCUUCCAUGGUUCUCACAAAACAUCCAUUCAUGUUAAAUUGCACUUUGUACCCAUGAGUUAUAAGUUUACUCACCGAAAGGAGGUUCUUCUUCAUCUUUGGCACAUGCAACACAUCCUUGAGAGUGAUUCUCUUGCUUAUGCCCUUCACCACCACCUCCACUACAAUGGUGCCUAUUCCAAUGGCUUGUACCAUACAAUUAUCACCUAACCAAACGUUGGUUGCUUGAA